rnacentral:tRNA from 1 species
UGCCCUGUCGUCCAACGGUAAGACGCAAGAUUCUGGAUCUUGUUAUCCUGGUUCGAAUCCAGGCGGGGCAG